GCCCUUGAGUUUGAUCCUGGCUCAGAUUGAACGCUGGCGGCAUGCCUUACACAUGCAAGUCGAACGGUAACAGGCAGCUUGCUGCGCUGACGAGUGGCGAACGGGUGAGUAAUAUAUCGGAACAUACCCUAGAGUGGGGGAUAACUAGUUGAAAGACUAGCUAAUACCGCAUACGAACUAAGGUUGAAAGUGGGGGAUCGCAAGACCUCAUGCUCAUGGAGUGGCCGAUAUCUGAUUAGCUAGUUGGUGAGGUAAAGGCUCACCAAGGCUUCGAUCAGUAGCUGGUCUGAGAGGACGACCAGCCACACUGGAACUGAGACACGGUCCAGACUCCUACGGGAGGCAGCAGUGGGGAAUUUUGGACAAUGGGGGCAACCCUGAUCCAGCAAUGCCGCGUGAGUGAAGAAGGCCUUCGGGUUGUAAAGCUCUUUUGUCAGGGAAGAAACGGUUUGGUCUAAUACACUGAGCUAAUGACGGUACCUGAAGAAUAAGCACCGGCUAACUACGUGCCAGCAGCCGCGGUAAUA
rnacentral:rRNA from 1 species